rnacentral:tRNA from 1 species
CAGGUGGAAGUCUAUUUGGUAGGACGCUUACUUUGGGUGUAAGAGUUUACAGGUUCGAACCCUGUUCAUCUGA